ACCGCUUUGAGGAUAAUACAGUGCCACCAACACGGCCCGUUGCAAUGGACUGUGGGCUCUCCUUCUCCCUGGCAGACGGGAAUAAGACAUUUAUACGUGUUAAACCUCGCAAGGCUGCCGGUCCAGACGACAUCCCCAGCCGCGUCCUCAGAGCAUGCGCAGACCAGCUGGCUGGUGUGUUUACGGACAUAUUCAAUCUCUCCCCAUCACAGUCUGUUGUCCCCACAUGCUUCAGAUGGCCACCAUUGUUCCUGUACCCAAGAAAGCAAAGGUCCACAGACGAUGCAAUCGCCAUAACACUGCACACUGCCCUGUCUCAUCUGGACAAGAGGAAUACCUAUGUAAGAAAAGAAUGCUGUUCAUUGACUACAGCUCAGCAUUCAACGCCAGAGUACCCACCAUAGUACCCGUCUGGCUGCAUAACCGCCUGGCACGGCAACUGCAUCGCCCACAACCGCAAGGCUCUCCAGAGGGUGGUGCGGUCUGCACAGCGCAUCACCAGGGGCAAACUACGUGCCCUCCAGGACACCUACAGCACCUGAUGUCACAGGAAGGCCAAAAGAUCAUCAAGGACAACAACCACCCGAGCCAUUGUCUGUUCACCCCGCGACCAUCCAGAAGGCGAUGUCUUUACAGGUGCAUCAAAGCUGGGACCCGAGAGACUGAAAAACAGCUUAUAUCUCAAGACCAUCAGACUGUUAAACAGCCAUCACUAACACCCAGAGGCUGCAGCAUACAUACAGACUUGAGAUCAUUGGCCAUUUUAAUAAAUGGAUCACUAGUCACUUUAAUAAUGUGACUUUAAUAUGUUUACGUAUCUUGCAUUACUCAUCUCAUAUGUAUAUACUGUAUUUUAUACCAUCUAUUGCAUCUUGUCAUUGCUCAUCCUUAUAUUUAUAUGUAUAUUUUAUUAUUCCAUUCCUUUACUUAGAUGUGUGUGUAUUGGGUAGUUGUGGAAUUGUUAGAUUACAUGUUAGAUAUUGCUGCACUGUCGGAACUAGAAGCACAAGCACUUUGCUACACUCACAAUAACAUCUUGCUAACCAUAUGUAUGUCACAAAUCCAAUUUGAUUUGAACCUGUUAUUACUGUAAAUGGGGCCACACAUCUGAUGAAGAACAUCGGAUGAAGUGUUACCUUAAUUGUGAGAGCUAAUUACUCAAAUUACUUAACGAAUACCUCUGAAUGCCUCAGCUAAGAUUUGCAAAGAGGUUUAGAAAGUGUAGAUCAAUCACAAUACUUUUUAAUGGUUGUCAAACCUUUUAAAUGUUUAAAUGUUUAAUGGUCAUGGUACAGAGGACUGAAUGAAAAGUGUAUUGUGAAAGUCAAGGAAAUUACCCCAUUGAAAUGACAUAAAUUGUAUUACUUAUCUUGCCUAUUUAAAGGUUAUUGUCUCCAUGUAUAGAUAUACUGUAAACAGUGAGAUGUUAACAUUGAA